GACGAACGCUGGCGGCGUGCUUAACACAUGCAAGUCGAACGGAAAGGCCCUGCUUUUGUGGGGUGCUCGAGUGGCGAACGGGUGAGUAACACGUGAGUAACCUGCCCUUGACUUUGGGAUAACUUCAGGAAACUGGGGCUAAUACCGGAUAGGAGCUCCUGCUGCAUGGUGGGGGUUGGAAAGUUUCGGCGGUUGGGGAUGGACUCGCGGCUUAUCAGCUUGUUGGUGGGGUAGUGGCUUACCAAGGCUUUGACGGGUAGCCGGCCUGAGAGGGUGACCGGCCAGAUUGGGAGUGAGAUACGGCCCAGACUCCUACGGGAGGCAGCAGUGGGGAAUAUUGCACAAUGGGCGGAAGCCUGAUGCAGCAACGCCGCGUGCGGGAUGACGGCCUUCGGGUUGUAAACCGCUUUCGCCUGUGACGAAGCGUGAGUGACGGUAAUGGGUAAAGAAGCACCGGCUAACUACGUG
rnacentral:rRNA from 1 species